GCCAGGUGUGGUGGCACAUGCCUGUAGUCCCAGCUACUCGGGAGGCUGAGGCUGGAGGAUUGCUUGAGUCCAAGAGUUCUGGGCUGUCAUGUGAUAUGUCGAUCGGGUGUCUGCACUAAGUUGGGCAUCAAUAUGGUGACCUCCCGGGGGCGGGGGACCACCAGGUUGCUUAAGAAGAGGUGAACUGGCCCAGGUUGGAAAUGGAGCCGGUCAAAACUCGCAUGCUGAUCAGUUGUGGGAUCGUGCCAGUGACUAGCCACUGCACUCCAGCCUGGGCAACAUCGUAAGACCCCCAUCUCU
ensembl:misc_RNA Metazoa_SRP Metazoan signal recognition particle RNA